UGUUCAUCUUGACCAGGUAUAGAUAUAUAUAAUAUACAUGUACAUGUCAAUGUUUUUAUGUACUUUAUUAAAUAUAGGUAUAAACUAAGUGCAUCUCUUUUUUUAUACAAUCUAAUACUUCAUUAAAUAAAUUUUGUUUAUGUAGAUAAGGACUACGCCUAAUAUUAGAGUUAAUAUUGCAUCUACUGGAAGACAACUCGGCACACCUUAUGGGGAUUCAGGUCAUGAGGGACCCUCUACAUCACAUCGAGAAGAGGGUCUGACUAUUGUGACACCAUCUAUGGUGGACACUACCAUUAGGAUAGGUUAUCCUCAUAAUUUUGAUCAGAGCCAAUUUGAACGCAC